UACCGCUCACUGCGAUCCAGACUCAUGACUUCAAAUCAAACAGAGGAGGCCAAUUUCUGCAAAGUGUGGGAAGGAAACAGCCAGUGCCCUCGGCGCGACCAGGGCUGGCUACAGAGGCAGGAACCCUGCAAUUGCUUUUCUCUGGACAAAAUACUUUUGGAAAACUACAGCUGCCGGUCUAGACGGAACACAGAUAUGGAGAUAUGAAACUGCUUCGGACUGUCCACAGCAACUGACUAUGAUUUGCCUCGUGCUCUAGCAGAGGAUACAUGAGAAGUCUGGCUGCCCCCCAACCAAGAAGAGAGCCCUGGCCAUCUGGAUAGGCUGCCCUGUAAUCUUCUUGACCAUCCCAGCUUCCAGAACUGUGAGAAAUAAAUAUUUGUUCUUGUU